rnacentral:tRNA from 1 species
GGGUGACUAGCUCAGUUGGUUAGAGCGUCCGGCUUACAUCCGGGAGGUCAUAGGUUCGAAUCCUAUGUCACCCACCA